GGGAGGGAAAAUAUUGAAGUGUAAUAUUCCAGAGUUCUCUCUUGUCUGCUCUGACUCCUGCCAGCUGCCCUGCACCUAGAGGGACAGGAGGCUCUUCUCCUGGGCAUUGCAUGGCCGGGAGCCAAAUGAGCUGGCCCCAGAACCUGUGAACCACGAAGGGACGAUACCAGAGAAACCCCCCAACCCAAAGGAAAUAGACUACAGCCCCAGUUGGCUGACUUUGGCUAUAGAAAAAAGAAAGGAAAGAAAAGAGACAGUUUUUUUGGAAAGCUAAGUCUUCCCUUUAUCAGUCAAGAAACCCCCCCUUCUUGAGCUAUUUACAGCUUUUAACAAUUGAGUAAAGUAUGCUCCUGACACAAUUGGAGAAACUGGUUAUUUAACAAGGGUUUGACUGGAAUGGCAUGCUUUCAAAUAUAAACAGACUUCUUUAAGGAAUUAAAGUUGACUAAUAGAGCCAAUAAAAGCCUCUUGGAAAAA
rnacentral:sRNA from 1 species